rnacentral:ribozyme from 1 species
GCUGCUCUGAUAAGUCACACACCUCUGCGCGGUGAGCAGUAGGCAACGAUCUUAUGAUUGGCUGAGAUGCGAA